UACGUAGGUGGCAAGCGUUGUCCGGAUUCAUUGGGUUUAAAGGGUGCGUAGGCGGCCAUUUAAGUCAGUGCUGAAAUAUCACAGCUUAACUGUGAGGGUGGCAUUGAUACUGGGUGGCUUGAGUGCUAGCGAGGCAGGCGGAAUUGACGGUGUCGCGGUGAAAUGCUUAGAUAUCGUCAAGAACACCGAUAGUGUAGACAGCUUGCCAGGGAGCAACUGACGCUGAGGCACGAAAGUGUGGGGAUCAAACAGG
rnacentral:rRNA from 1 species